rnacentral:rRNA from 1 species
GAUGAACGCUAGCGGCAGGCUUAACACAUGCAAGUCGAGGGGUAGAAGUCUUCGGACUUUGAGACCGGCGCACGGGUGCGUAACGCGUAUGCAAUCUGCCUUGUACAAAGGGAUAGCCCAGAGAAAUUUGGAUUAAUACCUUAUAGUAUAUAGAUGUGGCAUCACAAUUAUAUUAAAGAUUUAUCGGUACAAGAUGAGCAUGCGUCCCAUUAGCUAGUUGGUACGGUAACGGAAUACCAAGGCAAUGAUGGGUAGGGGCCCUGAGAGGGAGAUCCCCCACGCGUGUACUGGAACACGAACCAAACUCCGUCGGGAGGGAGCAUUGAGGAUUAUUGGUCAAGGGGCGCACGCCUGAACCCGCCAUGCCGCGUGCAGGAUGAAGCAGUUAUGGUGUGUAAACUGCUUUUGUACGGGAAGAAACACCUCUUCGUGAAGAGGCUUGACGGUACCGUAAGAAUAAGGAUCGGCUAACUCCGUGCCAGCCGCCGCGGUAA